rnacentral:tRNA from 1 species
CUUUGUAAGUUAAAAAUUAACAGCUAAUCUUGUAAAUUAGAAAAACGAGGUUAAAUCCCCCGACAAAGA